GACGAACGCUGGCGGCGUGCCUAAUACAUGCAAGUCGAGCGAGUCUGCCUUGAAGAUCGGAGUGCUUGCACUCUGUGAAACAAGAUACAGGCUAGCGGCGGACGGGUGAGUAACACGUGGGUAACCUGCCCAAGAGAUCGGGAUAACACCUGGAAACAGAUGCUAAUACCGGAUAACAACAGAUGAUGCCUAUCAACUGUUUAAAAGAUGGUUCUGCUAUCACUCUUGGAUGGACCUGCGGUGCAUUAGCUAGUUGGUAGGGUAACGGCCUACCAAGGCGACGAUGCAUAGCCGAGUUGAGAGACUGAUCGGCCACAUUGGAACUGAGACACGGCCCAAACUCCUACGGGAGGCAGCAGUAGGGAAUCUUCCGCAAUGGACGCAAGUCUGAUGGAGCAACGCCGCGUGAGUGAAGAAGGGUUUCGGCUCGUAAAGCUCUGUUGUUGGUGAAGAAGGACAGGGGUAGUAACUGACCUUUGUUUGACGGUAAUCAAUUAGAAAGUCACGGCUAACUACGUG
rnacentral:rRNA from 1 species